AGAGUUUGAUCCUGGCUCAGGACGAACGCUGGCGGCGUGCCUAACACAUGCAAGUCACGGGGGGUAGCAAUACCAACCGGCGAACGGGUGUGGAACACGUGAGCAAUCUACCGAUUACUGGGGGAUAGCCGGCCCAACGGCCGGGUAAUACCGCAUACGCUCAAGAGGGGACAUCCCCAUUUGAGGAAACCUCCGGGGGUAAUCGAGGAGCUCGCGUCUUAUCAGCUAGUUGGUGAGGUAACGGCUCACCAAGGCUACGACGGGUAGCUGGUCUGAGAGGAUGGCCAGCCACAUUGGGACUGCGACACGGCCCAGACUCCUACGGGAGGCAGCAGUGGGGAAUAUUGCGCAAUGGACGAAAGUCUGACGCAGCGACGCCGCGUGUGGGAUGAAGCUCUUCGGGGUGUAAACCACUGUUGCCCGGGACGAAUAUCCUUUUUUGAAAGGAUUGACGGUACCGGGUGAGGAAGCACCGGCUAACUCUGUGCCAGCAGCCGCGGUAAUACAGAGGGUGCGAGCGUUGUCCGGAAUCACUGGGCGUAAAGGGCGCGUAGGUGGCUUGUUAAGCGUGUGGUGAAAGCCUGGGGCUCAACCCCAGGUCUGCCGUGCGAACUGGCAAGCUUGAGCGUAGUAGAGGCAGGUGGAAUUUCGGGCGUAGCGGUGGAAUGCGUAGAUAUCCGAAAGAACACCGGUGGCGAAGGCGGCCUGCUGGGCUACUGCUGACACUGAUGCGCGACAGCGUGGGGAGCAAACAGGAUUAGAUACCCUGGUAGUCCACGCCGUAAACGAUGGGUACUAGGCGUCUGGGGGAGCGACCCCCUGGGUGCCGGCGCUAACGCAUGAAGUACCCCGCCUGGGGAGUACGGCCGCAAGGCUGAAACUCAAAGGAAUUGACGGGGCCCGCACAAGCGGUGGAGCAUGUGGUUUAAUUCGACGCAACGCGAAGAACCUUACCUGGGUUUGACAUGCUGGAGAAAGCCCUCAGAAACGGGGGCCCCUCUUCGGAGUUCCAGCACAGAUGCUGCAUGGCUGUCGUCAGCUCGUGUCGUGAGAUGUUGGGUUAAGUCCCGCAACGAGCGCAACCCUCAUCCCUAGUUACCAGCGGGUAAAGCCGGGAACUCUAGGGGGACUGCCGGUGCCAAACCGGACGAAGGUGGGGACGACGUCAAGUCAUCAUGGCUCUUACAUCCAGGGCUACACACGUGCUACAAUGGGCCAGACAAAGGGUCGCCAACCCGCGAGGGGGAGCCAAUCCCAUAAACUGGUCCUCAGUUCGGAUUGCAGUCUGCAACUCGACUGCAUGAAGCUGGAAUCGCUAGUAAUCGUGGAUCAGCUACGCCACGGUGAAUACGUUCCCGGGCCUUGUACACACCGCCCGUCACGCCAUGGAAGCUGUGAGUGCCCGAAGUCCGUGCAGGAACCCGCAAGGGGCCGAGCGGCCGAAGGCAAGCGCAGUGACUGGGGCGAAGUCGUAACAAGGUA
rnacentral:rRNA from 1 species